GUAUAGUUGAAGGAUAAACUAGUCCACCACAGCAUUAGAUAAGGUAUAGUUGAAGGAUAAACUAGUUCAGCACAGCAUUAGAUAAGGUAUAGUUGAAGGAUAAACUAGUUCAGCACAGCAUUAGAUAAGGUAUAGUUGAAGGAUAAACUAGUUCAGCACAGCAUUAGAUAAGGUAGAGUUGAAGGAUAAACUAGUUCAGCACAGCAUUAGAUAAGGUAUAGUUGAAGGAUAAACUAGUCCGGCACAGCAUUAGAUAAGGUAUAGUUGAAGGAUAAACUAGUCCAGCAUUAGAUAAGGUAUAGUUGAAGGAUAAACUAGUUCAGCACAGCAUUAGAUAAGGUAUAGUUGAAUGAUAAACUAGUUCAUCACAGCAUUAG